CCCCGGGGCCCCGGUCUCUAUCUUGCUUUGUUGUUUUAAAAUAUGCAUGUCUCUCCGGAAUGCCAGUCACGGGUCCAAACUUUGUGUGUCCCAACCUCCCACAUGAUGAAAUGAUCCUUUUAAAGCGGGCUCAAUAUGUCUCAAUCUGCACUCCUCUUCCCUCUCUAAAGCUUCUGGGUUCGGGACACUGCCCAGAAAUAUAUUAAUUAAAGCGCACAGACUUUUUAGCACUGGGGAAGAAGUGGCUGGAUCAAGUCAAGCUCUGUCAACGAUGGAUGGAUGAAGAUUCACGGCAGGAAAAAGGGGAAAAAGCUGCUGUACGUCUAUUAUGAUUGACUGUAACGAGGCAUUGCAGGGUAUUUUUCAUCUGGGCCACGGUGAACCGCUCCUUACAGUGAAGCGAUCAAUGUCUGCAGCGCUCUCUCAUUCACCCUGAACUGGCGGUGAACUCCUGCGGAACGCCGCCAGCCUCUCCACCCUAUCCCAUCGCAGUCCGGGGUCAACGGGGGGGCGUCUCUGUGCCAAUAUGCAGAUGAGCCUGUGCCCCUCCAAUGACUCUGGUGUGAAGCUCCACCCCUCUAUAUGGUGGAGAGCCCCCCACUCCACCCACCUACCCCACCUGACGACACUCACAGAGACAUAAACCCACUCCCACACUGGCUUAAAUAGGCAUUUAACAGCUUACGUCCGCUCUUCCUUUAAUAGCCAAAGUGUGUCGAACCUAAUGGAUGUUGUCAAAGCUGAGAUGUGACCACUGAUUUAGAGGACGAAGCCCAAUGACCAGGCUUCACUAGCCCUUAAAGACUGGGAGAGAUAGAAAGAGACAGAGAGAGAGGGAAUUACCUCAGCAAAGACACAAAUCAAAAUAAUAUCUUUAAAAGAGUGGGGAUCGAUGAGGUGUCAUCUGAAUGUAUCUUGUGUGUAAAGUGAACCCAUAAACAGCCAAUGAGAACUACUUUAUCCUCAAUUUUAGUCCCUUAGUGAAAAAGUACUUCAUCUGAUAAGCAGAUUUUUUAUGAGCAAUUGAUUUCAUGUAUUGUUAAAACAAGAUAUCACAGGCGAAGAGCACUUCCAUUUUAUUAGUUUAAUUACAACUUGUGUCAUGUAUUUAAUUGAUCAAACUUUGAAAAUAAAGUACCCUGUGUAUUUGUGUGUGUACUUUCAUGCAUUCACUGUGAACCAAUUAAGUUGCCUGUGCUAAUUUUAACAAGAUCAUUGUAAUUGCAUUAAUUUAAUAAAGUUUAUUGUAAAUGCAA